rnacentral:tRNA from 1 species
CAGCCACCUGGUCAAGGUGCUGGCUUUCGGGCUGGGGCUCUGGCUGCUGGCGAUCGUUGCGCUGGUGGCUGUC